rnacentral:rRNA from 1 species
UACGUAGGGCGCAAGCGUUGUCCGGAUUCACUGGGUGUAAAGGGUGCGUAGGUGGCGCGGUAAGUCGGGUGUGAAAUCUCGGAGCUUAACUCCGAAAUUGCAUUCGAUACUGCCGUGCUCGAGGACUGGAGAGGAGACUGGAAUUCAUGGUGUAGCAGUGAAAUGCGUAGAGAUCAUGAGGAACACCCGUGGCGAAGGCGGCUCUCUGGUACGUGACUGACGCUGAGACGCGAAAGCGUGGGGAGCAAACAGG